rnacentral:lncRNA from 1 species
GGAUAGCAUCUUAUAUUUGGUCAUAACUGACUUGUGAAUAGGAGGUUAUGAAUUCCUUUCGUCAUAAGCACCACUAUGCUAUGCUAGGGCUUCAACGCAAGCAGCAUAUUUUUACUGUUUGGAGAAGCUGGCCACAUGUGAGCCGUACCUACCUCAGUGCCUGACUACGUACGUGCUUUGAACAAAUAACAACAAAAACAAAGCAUUUCAGUCCCAAGCUUUGAACAAAUGAAAAGUCUAAAUUUUGAAUUGGUAAAUACCUUUGAACUAGCUAGUCUAUGCAUAUUCCUCUUUAAUUAACUUGUUGCUGGAUCCUAGUUUAGUUGUGUCAUGCACAUCUGGCAGCAAGAUGGCAUUAUAUGAUGAUGCUAAAUGAUAAGCUUACCUUUCACGAGUUUUUUUCCUUAUGCAAAUAGAGUUUUUGUAAUAAGGCAGCUCAUGCAUGUCCUUUGAGCACAAAUCGGAGAUAUGGCAUUGUAAUUUGUAACUCCCGCGUGCAUGUGUAAUUAAAUGAUAAGAAUUGAAGUAGUAAGCAUGGCAGGUUGGUUUCAUGGGUGGAUUUUGAACCUUGUGAAUUGAAAUUCAACUUGACCGAUAGCGCUGAAAAUCGCGUAGCCAAGUCGCCCCGGCCCCCUGCGCGUACGUUGGCCGACUAAGUUACAGAACCCGUUUUCUUAGCUUUCUAUGUUCAAAGAUACAAGUGACACGGUGUGUCAAGCUCAAGGAUAGCUACAAUAAUAUUUUACUCUAUAGUUUUAUGCCAGCCAAAGUCUCCCUAACUUCAGCUUCAUCAAACCGUCCCAACCUUUUUUGUGAUGGCUCAUGGCUGCACUUGGUUGGUUGGUAGUUGGACCGAGCCUCUCGUAAACAGAACGAGUGGUGCCAGCAACCAUGAAAAUGUGGUACUCAGGUUGAAGCAACAACUUAACGAAGGAACCGGUCCAUAUACAGUAGGCGCGGAGAGAAUUCUCGUGGCGGAAACUGAACGACGGGCGACACGUAGACGUAGGAAUUAAUGAAUUGGAAUGGACCCAUCAAGCGCUGAAAACCGCGCAUGCAGCUGGUAGCGACCGACGACGUCGUUGGUGAGUAUCUGCAUUUUAAAAAGAAAUUUACUAAUUAAAUAUCCUGACUCCCUAUGGCCAUAGUUUAAUUAUAUUAUAAGCGUGUUUAAUAAAUAAUUAGACCGUCAUUGGUAGUCAUGCAAUAUGGAAACCACUUUUCAUGCAUGCAUAUAUAUACACGCACCGUUUCAAGUAAGUUGACCAACGGAGGAUCAAGGACAUGCAUAAGCAUGUAAUAACCCAGGUGUCCUUACGGAAAGAACCAAGAACCAACAGUAACCCUGACGUACUAGCUGGUAACAAAGUAUAGGGCAUGCAACAAGAACAAAAAAUUCAACUGUCAUGCAUGUUGGUCUACUAUAAUACCGUUUGACACUUUGACCUUUACGUAGGCACGCUUGGACUCGAUCAACGAAUGAAGAGACAGGUCAGUAUGUGUGAGCGACCUGCCUACUCCUCCCCACAGCAUCAGACGAACUACGCGGAUAUGAUAAUUAAUAUACCGUUCAACUUGUCAUUAGCAAAUACCCCGAGAAAUCAUAUAUUUCUUAUGUCCGGCCCCCUGUAAAAAUGGGUGUUUUCUAACUGUGGUUUCCAGUAAAGUAGCAUUUUUCUACAGAAAUAUAGUUAGAUAUUGUAGAACUCAAAAACAAAAAUCAGUUGAUAUUUUUUUUUAUCUAUGAUCAUUUAGAGGGGCACAAAUAUAUGUUUUAGAUUUUUCAUAGUUCAUGUAUAUAAGUUAGGCAGGAGAUAUAGAUGGUAGAAGAUCUAUAGGCGGUUUUGCAAUUUACUAUUUGGGCACAUAGUGAUUUUAUCGCAUGGAGUGCAUGCAGGCAAGACAAUGUACUAAUCUAGUACUAAAGCUGAGUAUAUAUAAAGUCAUAGUCAUAGCAUAUGCAAUAACAAAACUUAUGUGAGUACAAAUACUUCUAAACAACUUAAUAUUUGUAGUCCUAAGGUGGCAAGACUGAUGUGUUUACAAUAUAGGAUCAUAGUAUUUGUCAUCUAAUCAUGUGUUGGAUGCUAGCUAGAACAAAGCAUCUUAUAUUUGGAAGAUUUUUUUUUCUGUUUGAGAUGUUUAGGGCCGAAAUAUAUAUAUUCAAUUCAAGAUUUGUGGAAAUAUUUAACCCAAAAGGAUAGCAUCUUAUAUUUGGUCAUAACUGACUUCUGGCGUGGCGGGCGUGAGAGGAAUAGGAGGUUAUGAAUUCCUUUGGUCAUAAGCACCACUAUAGCUAGGGCUUCAACGCAAGCAGCAUACUUUUACUGUUUGGAGAAGCUGGCCACAUGUGAGCCGUACCUGCGACCUCAGUGCCUGACUACGUACGUGCUUUGAACAAAUAGCAACAAAAACAAAGCAUUUCAGUCCCAAGCUUUGAACAAAUGAAAAGUCUAAAUUUUGAAUUGGUAAAUACCUUUGAACUAGCUAUAGUUUGUGCAUAUUCCUCCUUAAUUAACUUGUUGAUGGAUCCUAGUUUAGUUGUGUCAUGCACAUCUUGCAGCAAGAUGGCAUUAUAUGAUGAUGCUAAAAGAUAAGCUUACCUUUCACGAGUUUUUUUCCUUAUGCAAAUAGAGUUUGUAAUAAGGCAGCUCAUGCAUAUGUCCUUAGCAUAAAUCGGAGAUAUGGCAUUGUAACUCCCGCGUGCGUGUGUAAUUAAAUGAUAAGAAUUGAAGUAGUAUGCAUGACAGGUUGGAUUCAUGGGUGGAUUUUGAACCUUGUGAAUUGAAAUUCAACUUGA